AAUUACAGUAAUAAUUCCUUAUUUUAAGAAUUGCGGCUUUUUUCAUUCCGGCCGGUUUUAAGGAUUUCGGCUUUUCUCAUUCCGGGUUUUAAAGAUUCCGGCUUUUCCCGUUCCGGGUUUUAAAGAUUCCGGCUUUUCUCGUUCCGGGUUUCAAAGAUUCAGGCUUUUCUCAUUCCAGGUUUUAAAGAUUCUGGCUUUUCUCAUUCCGGGUUUUAAAGAUUCCGGCUUUUUUCAUUCCGGGUUUUAAAGAUUCCAGCUUUUCUCGUUCCGGGUUUUAAAGAUUCCGGCUUUUUUCGUUCCGUUCCGUUCCUCGAUACCGUUCCGUUCCUCGAUUCCCCGUUCCUGGUUUUAAAGAUAGCCGAUCAAAAACAGGUGAGGUUGCGAGGGAAAGUCCCUCGGGAAAGCCCCUUUGGAUUUUGGAAAAUCCCUCUGGAAAAUCUCUUUGGUUUCGUUUUUUCCACAACGACAGUAAAGCCUGUUACUGCAUGCUACUUGUUUGCUUAAACCGGGUGAUGCAGUAGAGAUCAUCAUAUCGUCACAUAAAUUUGGUUCAAAUAAGAAAAUAACUAGCAGAUUAAUACAGCAAGUGAGUAACAUUUUCAUUUCAUUGCUCUAUAAUGUUAAUACAUUUCUUAAAGGUUCAUUCACAGGCGGCCCAAUCUCUGAACGUCCUAUACAUUUUGAAUAUUUAAUCUUUAUAAUAUUUCAAAAUAACAAAAUAAUUCAAAAAAUAUCAGCAGUAUAUGUAAAAAUAUAUGCAUGAUGGGAUAUAUGGGAUGCAUUCGAAAUGCAUUUGUUGUGUUUACGAGUUUAGAUGAUGCGAUUGCUUUACGUUUUCGUCGUACUUGAACGGUCGUCAGUACUGGCACUGAACGACAUGCCCAUAGGAUAUGAAUAACUACAAGGCUAGUCACUUAUCUGAUAUACUCUCCGACAUCGAGUCCAAUAUUUCUGCUCAAAAUCGUUGCAGAGUAAUAAAUUUCACAUCGCCUAAUAGUAUGAACGUGCCUCUUUCGAAAGAACAUGGUUUGUUCACCAUUAUUUUUUGGGCAAUUCUCUUGACACGUUGUACGACGAACUUUGUUUAUCCAAAAUUCAAAAUUCAAUUUUCGAAAGAAGCUAUGGUUUACCCCACGAUCGUUGCCAUAAGAGCGGUUAAGCAACCUGGCUUCCUCGUUCAAAAACACUCCAUCGGGUGGAGGGGGGUGGGAGGAGCUGGAGUGGAAUGAGGGGGGGGGAGGCUUUCAAAGCAACACGAUAAAACACGCGUUAUAAAUAAAAAUGAUUACUUUAUCAUGCCGUAUUCGACACUAAACAAGUAUUGAAUCAGUCCUAUUUUUAGAAGCGUG